AUUGAACGCUGGCGGCAGGCCUAACACAUGCAAGUCGAACGAUUGGCGGAUGGGUGAGUAAUGCCUGGGAAACUGCCUGAUGUAGGGGGAUAACUACUGGACACGGUAGCUAAUACCGCAUACCAUCAGAUGUGCCCAGAUGGGAUUAGCUAGUAGGUGGGGUAAAGGCUCACCUAGGCGACGAUCCCUAGCUGGUCUGAGAGGAUGACCAGCCACACUGGAACUGAGACACGGUCUAAACUCCUACGGAAGGCAGCAGGGGGGAAUAGUGCACAAUGGACGAAAGCAUGAAGCAGCCAUGCCGCGUGUAUGAAGAAGGCAUUCGGGUUGUAAAGUACUUUCAGCGGGGAGGCGUUACCCGCAGAAGAAGCACCGGCUAACUCCGUGCCAGCAGCCGCGGUAAUUC
rnacentral:rRNA from 1 species